AAAAAAUCAAAUUCGGUUUUGCUUUUCCACAAAGAUAUGGAAGGUAUUGAAAAAGCAAGGAAUCCCAGCAAAAGAACUGGGCAUAGCAGCAUAGGGAGGAGCCUAAGCAGGAGUAGCUGGAGCAUGGAGGAUGUAUUCUCAGGUUCCAAGUAUUCCAGGAGUAGCCGAGUUGAUGAAGAUGAAGAAGCUCUAAAAUGGGCCUCCAUCGAGAAGCUACCGACGUAUGAUCGACUCAGAACCAGCAUCAUGCAAUCGUUUGUGGACCAUGAGAUUGUCGGGAAGAGGGUGGAACAUAGAGCUGUCGACGUUACCUAGCUUAACGUGAAUGACAGGCAGAAGUUCAUUGAUAUGCUCUUCAGGGUUGCCGAGGAAGACAAUGAGAGGUUCUUGAGCAAGUUUAGAAACAGGAUUGAUAAGAUGGCACACUUACUAUCCAUCUUCUUCUGGGAAACAACCCUUUUGUUGGCAUUGGCGGGCAAGUUGGAUCCAAGCUUAAGGGUUAAAGGAGAAGUAACAUAUAAUGGAUAUAGACUGAAUGAAUUUGUUCCGAAAAAGGCAUCUGCAUAUAUCAGCGAGAAUGAUGUUCAUGUCGGAGAAAUGACAGUGAAAGAAACCUUUGAUUUCUCAGCAAGAUGACAGGGUGUUGGCAUUCGAUAUGAUCUCUUAAGUGAGCUUGCUAGAAGGGAAAAAUAUGCAGGAAUUUUCCCAGAAGCUGAUGUAGACCUUUUCAUGAAGGCAACUGCAAUGGGAGUUGAAAGCAGCCUUUUCACUGAUUACACUCUCAAACUUUUGGGUUUCGACAUAGCAAAGAUACCAUUGCUGGAGAUGAGAUGCAGAGGGGCAUUUCUGGAGGUCAAAA